UUCUUGGGGGCUGGGUGAGCGCAUGUGCGGGAGAAUAGGGGCGGGCGUUUGGGUGGGAGAUUAUGUCCCUGAGGGCGGGGCCAGGCUCCAUACUUCCGGCAGCUUGUCUGGCCUAUGGAGGUUUCGUCUCUGUGGUUUAGUCGGUUCGACAAAGGGGCCUCGAAGUGACCGGAACUUAGUGAGCCGCCAUUGAAAUCCAGAUUGCUGUGAGCUCGGGGGGGGGGGGGCACUAACUGUGGGGGCAUUGCCCCGGGGGGAGAGACGCCAACUGCGAACCGACCCAGAGCAAUGGCGGCGUAAAUUUUCCCUAUGCUGCCCUCAUGACGCCGCUGUUGAAGGAGACUGUAAUUGGCUUCAACUUUCUGAAGGGGAGUUGAAUUUCUAAAGAAGUUUGGGGAAAUGCUGAGAGAGAGUUUUCUGCCAUAUUUUUAUGUGUUUAUCAUUUAACAAUGGCACUGCUUUACAGAAUGGACAGGCACAUUCCCUCUACUGAAGAGCUGACAGGCAAAUGUGAUCUAUUGGAUGAUAUUGGAACUAGUACCCAUAAAAACCUCAAUCCUGUUCUGGAGAGUGAGCAUAAAGACCUCCACACUCCUGAUCUUUGUAUUAUUAUACAGUACAGAAUGUGUGAACCAGUUCCUCCAUGUAACCAAGAGAACCUGCUUUUUACAUGAAGCAAUGUUUACAAGAGAGGAGCACUUCUAUCUUACUAUCAGUAACUGAACACUGACAGUUAAUAAUGGUUGGAGUUCUUGCUCUGAAAAGUGGAACAGAGCCAUAAUUCUUAUGCUAUCUCAGUUUAGGUGCAAAAUAUAAAUAUUGGUCUUAGACCCAUCUGUUCACAGUUCAAAUUGAUUUCAGUAGAAAUCCUGUGCAUGGGUGAUGGCAGUGUAUUUUUUGUUUUGUUUUGUAUAACAGUCCCUACCCAAAGUAACUGUGAUAGUCGCUUGUCCAUACUUCAUUCUUUUUGGACUGCAACAAACAUUACAAUGAGUAACAUUUUACAUUCACUUUCAUUUAUAUCCAGAUCUGAAGAUUUUGCUUGGCUACUCAGAUGUCUUUAGAAUUUCUUUGAAGACAGGUGUGGCAAGUUACAGUUUUGGCUGUUAAAAUGUAUGGUAAAGUGCCAUUACCUCAUAUCUUUCUGGGGGCUCUGCUUGGAGUUGCAGGAGGAUUCUACAUCUAUAAACCAAUAUUUGAACAAUAUCACAGAAAACAGAAUAAAUUAAAAGAAACGCUGCAAGCACCACAACUAGAAGAGAAGAAAGAAUAGCAGGGAUUACAUGGAGCUGCUUGGGGAUAUUGGCUUAGACACUGUAAACUUUUGUUCUGACAUAAAAACAAAAUAACCUAUUUUAUUCUUCAAAAUGAAACUGGUUUGUCUUGGUGAAGAAUAAAUAUGCUUUUUAAUUAAUGUAAA